rnacentral:tRNA from 1 species
AGCAGCGUGGCUCAGUGGAAAGAGCCCGGGUUUGGGUGUCAGAGGUCAUGGGUUUGAAUCCCGUCUCUGCCA